ACUCAAAGGAAUAGACGGGGGCCCGCACAAGCAGCGGAGCAUGUUGUUUAAUUCGAUGCAACGCGAAGAACCUUACCAGGUCUUGACAUCGACGUAAGCCAUCAGAGAUGAUGGGUGCCUUCGGGCAACGGAAGACAGGUGGUGCAUGGUUGUCGUCAGCUCGUGUCGUGAGAUGUUGGGUUAAGUCCCGCAACGAGCGCAACCCUUAUGAUCAGUUACUAACGGGUGAAGCCGAGGACUCUGAUGAGACUGCCGGGGACAACUCGGAGGAAGGUGGGGACGACGUCAAAUCAUCAUGCCCCUUAUGACCUGGGCUACAAACGUGCUACAAUGGCGGCUACAAAGAGGAGCGAGCCCGCAAGGGUGAGCGGAUCUCAAAAAAGCCGUCCCAGUUCGGAUUGUGGGCUGCAACCCGCCCACAUGAAGUCGGAGUUGCUAGUAAUCGCGGAUCAGCAUGCCGCGGUGAAUACGUUCCCGGGCCUUGUACACACCGCCCGU
rnacentral:rRNA from 1 species